UGGGGAAUAUUGGACAAUGGGCGCAAGCCUGAUCCAGCCAUGCCGCGUGAGUGAUGAAGGCCCUAGGGUUGUAAAAUUCUUUCACCGGGGACGAUAAUGACGGUACCCGGAGAAGAAGCCCCGGCUAACUUCGUGCCAGCAGCCGCGGUAAUACGAAGGGGGCUAGCGUUGCUCGGAAUUACUGGGCGUAAAGGGAGCGUAGGCGGACAUUUAAGUCAGGGGUGAAAUCCCGGGGCUCAACCUCGGAAUUGCCUUUGAUACUGGGUGUCUUGAGUAUGAGAGAGGUGUGUGGAACUCCGAGUGUAGAGGUGAAAUUCGUAGAUAUUCGGAAGAACACCAGUGGCGAAGGCGACACACUGGCUCAUUACUGACGCUGAGGCUCGAAAGCGUGGGGAGCAAACAGG
rnacentral:rRNA from 2 species